GACGAACGCUGGCGGCGUGCCUAACACAUGCAAGUCGAGCGAUGAAGUUCUUCGGAACGGAUUAGCGGCGGACGGGUGAGUAACACGUGGGUAACCUGCCGUGUAGAGGGGGAUAGCCUUCCGAAAGGAAGAUUAAUACCGCAUAACAUCUUUUUAUCGCAUGGUAGAAAGAUCAAAGGAGUAAUCCGCUACAAGAUGGAACCGCGGCGCAUUAGCUAGUUGGUGAGGUAACGGCUCACCAAGGCGACGAUGCGUAGCCGACCUGAGAGGGUGAUCGGCCACAUUGGAACUGAGACACGGUCCAGACUCCUACGGGAGGCAGCAGUGGGGAAUAUUGCGCAAUGGGGGAAACCCUGACGCAGCAACGCCGCGUGAAUGAAGAAGGCCUUAGGGUUGUAAAGUUCUGUUUACGGGGACGAUAAUGACGGUACCCGUGGAGGAAGCCACGGCUAACUACGUGCCAGCCGCCGCAGUAA
rnacentral:rRNA from 1 species